rnacentral:rRNA from 1 species
UACGUAGGGAGCAAGCGUUGUCCGGAAUCAUUGGGCGUAAAGCGCGCGUAGGUGGCUAUGUAAGUCCGUUGUGAAAGUCAAAGGCUCAACCUUUGAAAGCCGAUGGAUACUGCAUAGCUAGAGUACGGAAGAGGCGAGUGGAAUUCCUGGUGUAGCGGUGGAAUGCGCAGAUAUCGGGAGUAACACCCGUGGCGAAGGCGGCACUCUGGGACGGUACUGACGCUGAGACGCGAAAGCGUGGGGAGCAAACAGG